GAGACGCAAGAGACGCAAGAGGUACUUCCUCCCUUGGAGACUCCAGAAGGAACCACCUCUGCUGACAACUGGAUCUGGAUCGCUAACCUCCAGAACCCAAGGCCACUGGACUUGACUCCAUGAUCACCUUUAACAACAUGACCUCAGGAACACCACUGCCAGUUCUCAGUAACUUCCCAGUCACAGCACUAGAAGUGGACCGCCAUCUUGUUGGCCAUGCACAGACAGGCUGCUACGUAACGGCAUUACAGACUCAAGUGGUUCCCACUGUUCAGAC